rnacentral:rRNA from 1 species
GAGUUUGAUCGUGGCUCAGGACGAACGCUGGCGGCGUGCUUAACACAUGCAAGUCGAACGGUAAGGCUCCUUCGGGAGUGCACGAGUGGCGUACGAGUGAGUAACACGUGGGCAAUCUGCCUUGCACUCUGGGAUAAGCCUGGGAAACUGGGUCUAAUACCGGAUAUGACUUCUUUACGCAUGUUUAGAAGUGGAAAGUUUUUUCGGUGCAAGAUGAGCCCGCGGUCUAUCAGCUUGUUGGUGAGGUAGUGGCUCACCAAGGCUACGACGGAUAGCCGGCCUGAGAGGGCGAUCGGUCACGCUGGAACUGAGACACGGUCCAGACUCCUACGGGAGCAGCAGUGGGAAUAUUGCACAAUGGGCGCAAGCCUGAUGCAGCGACGCCGCGUGA